GGAGUGGUUGGCGUAGCGCGCAAAGCCUCGGCUUGCUAAGCCGAAGGUCUCGGGUUCGAUUCCCGUUGGGUCCC
rfam:Habropoda laboriosa contig6364, whole genome shotgun sequence.